GACGAACGCUGGCGGCGUGCUUAACACAUGCAAGUCGAACGGAAAGGCCCUGCUUUUGUGGGGUGCUCGAGUGGCGAACGGGUGAGUAACACGUGAGUAUCCUGCCCUUGACUUUGGGAUAACUUCAGGGAAAUGGGGCUAAUACCGGAUAGGAGCUCCUGCUGCAUGGUGGGGGUUGGAAAGUUUCGGCGGUUGGGGAUGGACUCGCGGCUUAUCAGCUUGUUGGUGGGGUAGUGGCUUACCAAGGCUUUGACGGGUAGCCGGCCUGAGAGGGUGACCGGCCACAUUGGGACUGAGAUACGGCCCAGACUCCUACGGGAGGCAGCAGUGGGGAAUAUUGCACAAUGGGCGGAAGCCUGAUGCAGCAACGCCGCGUGCGGGAUGACGGCCUUCGGGUUGUAAACCGCUUUCGCCUGUGACGAAGCGUGAGUGACGGUAAUGGGUAAAGAAGCACCGGCUAACUACGUG
rnacentral:rRNA from 1 species